rnacentral:rRNA from 1 species
GUACGGUCGCAAGAUUAAAACUCAAAGGAAUAGACGGGGACCCGCACAAGCGGUGGAGCAUGUGGUUUAAUUCGAUUCUACACGAAGAACCUUACCUAGGCUUGACAUUGAGAGAAUCCGCUAGAAAUAGUGGAGUGUCUGGCUUGCCAA